rnacentral:rRNA from 1 species
UACGAAGGUCCCGAGCGUUAUUCGGAAUCACUGGGCGUAAAGGGAGCGUAGGCUGUACGGUAAGUCAGAUGUGAAAUCUCAGAGCUCAACUCUGAAACUGCAUCCGAUACUGCCGUACUAGAGUAAUGGAGGGGUAACUGGAAUUCUCGGUGUAGCAGUGAAAUGCGUAGAUAUCGAGAGGAAGACCAACGGCGAAGGCA